CGUCAUCCUCACAAACAAAGAACUGUCAAGUAAAAAUUAAUCAUAUUCAAUUUUCUUUUAAAAGUACAGAGCAUUCUCUCUCAAAAACCCCAAGGGAAAGAGCGACGGCCUCCCUCUCUGUCAAACCAAACUCGUCCGGCAGCGCUCAUGGCAGGAGUCUUUCUCCUUGCCUGUAUGAGUUGUUGUCGGACGGGAUCUGAAUUUUCAAUUGCUAAGGAGUUCUAAGAUCUGGGUGCUUUGGCUCAAGGUUUGGCUUGGUGGCUGAGAUGAGUUUGGGUGCUACUUCAGGCAUGGUGGCUAUUUUGUGUUGGGUGACCGGUAGGGUUUCUUCAAGAUGUGGUGGUCUCUCAGUUUUGCGCUUUUGGCGGAGUCGUGUGGCCUUAGCAGAGUGGAUCUGGGCGACGCAUGGAUCAACUUGGAAAACUCGACGGCGAGACGGGAAGGAGGAGCACCUACGCAGGAGGCUACUCGGGUUGAAGAUGGCGGCUAGGCUUCCUCAGGCCAUUUCGGGUUGAACCUUGGGUCCUGGGCCUCUGUUAUGGGGCUGCUACCUUAGGGCCAUCUAAAUGGGGCUGCUUUCUUCAGGGCCCAAUAAAUGGGGCUUACUCUUUUAGCCCAUUAAUUUUUAAGUUUUCCUGUUUUUCGGAACAAUUGCUCUUGGUCCAUGCUUUUCACAUGGGGGAGCUUUAUUUUCUUGCUCUAGUUUAGUUAGAAACAUUUGUGAUCUAUUUGAUAUUAGAUUAUAGGCUCCUUGUGAGCCUCAAUUUGUAAUGAGGAUAUAACCCUCAUACGAAUUAGAUGAUCUUGUUUGUCUUCUGUACGCAUGGCAACGGAUCGAUUUGUAUUGUACCCUCUAAUUACUUGAUUCUAAUGACAAAAUUGUCAUUAAGUUCAAAAAAAAGGGUUUAAAUUAGUACCAAAUAAGUAUUUUCCCUUUUUGAAAUAGUCAGUUACGACUUUCAUAUAAUUUAGGUAAAGUGAAGGCCAGAAGUAGUCAUUACAUACUUUACCGUUAUCAUCCAUAGAUAGACAAGUAGUUGUGAGGCAUACCUCAUCCAUAUGAUAGACUACUCUUUAAUAACCGCAUUCAUAGAGCCCAUAAGACCUAUAUAAUAUCCUAAGGGUGAACAAAACUAGACUAAAAGAAAAACAUAGAAGAAAAUAGAAUCUAGACAAAAGCUAAAGAGAGCUAUGAGCUGAGGCUAAUCUCCGACCCAUAAUAGCUGCUAAUCCAUCUGAUCCAAGAGAAGACCCAUUCGAGGCCCACAAGCCCAUUUGACUGAUCACCAUCUUCCACCUCCACACCACCCUCCAAACCAGUGUCGCGUCGCCGCCGUUGAUUGCAUGCUGCCCCACCCAAGGAACCACAACCACAACUAUGGGACCGCUUCUCUCCUUGUUUGCAGCCCGUCUGAUCCACAACCUCAGCAACAUCAAGCGCUUCUGCCGUCGAGUGAAGGCCACCACCUUCAAUCAAUCUGCACCACCCCGACUCGCCAAAGAACAACGCAGAUCUAGGCCUCACACAACCGCCAUUCAACUCCCAGAGGUAGAACGAUAGAUCAAAAUCAAAGAAUAUGCAUACCACAGCCGAAUUGCCUUACCUCCUUGAUGUGAAUGGAUAGCCAUCGAUCCCUGCCCGGCAGACAAAAACUCAAGGCGUCGGCGAGGCCAAACGACCAAGCCAUCAGCCUGAGCCGCCGCCGAACGAAGAAUUUUCCUUUGAGAGAGUUUUUCUUGUAUUAUUUACUAUGUAUUUUUUUGGUCAAGAAUUUACUAUGUAUUUAGAGAAAUUUUAAAUACACACCCUUAAUAUCUGAAUACACAC
rnacentral:lncRNA from 1 species